rnacentral:lncRNA from 1 species
UACCAGGAUAUUACACCUUCAUACUUCACAAAAUCUUCUAAGACUAAAUGAAAUGGAGAUUGUAUUUCAUCUCUUCAUCUUAUUUCAACAUCCUCUACAAGCCUAUUUCCCAGCCUGUGGAAUAAGCAAGAUAAGAUGACAGUUCCCUCUGGAGUGUAUCAAAACAUGCCAUAGCAAUAAAAACCAUGAUAGCAGAUAUUAAAGUUUCUGACCCCAGUUGUGGAUUCUCAGCUUCUUAGCCACUGGAGAAUGGCCUUGAGCCUGGCCUCACUAUCUCUCUUUCUCUAGUCAGUG